UAGUUCAGUUGGUUGAGCACAAGGCUUUCAACCUUGUGGUCAUGGGUUCAAGCUUCCAU
rnacentral:tRNA from 1 species